AACGAACGCUGGCGGCAUGCCUAACACAUGCAAGUCGAACGAGACCUUCGGCUCUAGUGGCGCACGGGUGCGUAAUGCGUGGGAACCUGCCCUUAGGUUCGGAAUAACUCCCCGAAAGGGGUGCUAAUACCGGAUAAUGUCUUCGGACCAAAGAUUUAUCGCCUUUGGAUGGGCCCGCGUUGGAUUAGCUAGUUGGUAGGGUAAAAGCCUACCAAGGCGACGAUCCAUAGCUGGUCUGAGAGGAUGAUCAGCCACACUGGGACUGAGACACGGCCCAGACUCCUACGGGAGGCAGCAGUGGGGAAUAUUGGACAAUGGGCGAAAGCCUGAUCCAGCAAUGCCGCGUGAGUGAUGAAGGCCUUAGGGUUGUAAAGCUCUUUUACCCGGGAUGAUAAUGACAGUACCGGGAGAAUAAGCUCCGGCUAACUCCGUG
rnacentral:rRNA from 1 species